UAGAAAGAGAGAGGGGCCACUCUUAGCCUGCAGCGGCCAGUGAGCCAGAGGAGAUGGCCUUGAACAGCCUGGUCUAACCUCCUACCUUCUGCUAAUGGAGAGAACUUUAAAGCAAAACCUUCAAGUUCUCAGCCUCCUUUAUGACCAGACACGGCCAUGUAACCCAGCGCUGGCCAACAAGUGAUGGAUGGGACCCCCUGGGGAGAGCUUCCUUCUCCUAAUAAAAAGGCUAAGGCUACCGAGGAGACUGCAUGUGACUUUCAGCCUUUGGCUCUACGCCUCUUUCUGCCUAGAAUAUGGAUGUGAUGUCUGGACGCUCAGCAGCCAUUCUGUGAAAUGAGGAGACACAAACACGGAGAGCAACAGAGCAGGAAGCCAAAAGGAACCUGGCCAGGAUGACCCCCCGAGGACCCUGCCAGCCCUGGGCUGUCUGGUCCCGAGCUUCUGUGCUGUACUGAGUGUCAACAGCGGCUUGUGGAGUCCAGAGAAGCCGCAACCCAUUUUGGGAGCAGGUAUGAUUUUGGGGGCAGGGGGUGCCUAAAGGCAGCUCCCCCCAGUAUCUGCCACCUCCUUCUCCUGGGACCUGGGUGUGGCUCAUGGCACAUCCUCAGGGACUGGCCUCCCUGGUGGUGGCAUCAAUAGGAAUUCUGGAGGCUGGAAGUCUGAAACUGAGGUGUCAGCAGGGCUACGCUCCUCCUGCAGGCUCCAGGGUGGAUCCAUCCCAACUCUGCCAGCUCCUGGGGGCCCAGGUGGCUCUGUGGCUGGCCAAGCAUGCCUCCCAUCUCCGUCUCCAUCUUCACCUGGCCUCCUCCUCUGUGUCCCCUCCUCUUGUUUGUUUGUGUGUUUGUUUUUGCUUUUUAGGGCCACACCCAUGGCAUAUGGAAGUUCCCAGGCUAGGGGUCUAAUCGGAGCUGUAGCUGCCGGCCUCCACCACAGCCACAGCAACGUGGGAUCUGAGCCACGUCUGUGACCUACACCGCAGCUCACAGCAAUGGCGGAUCCUUAACCCACUGAGCAAGGCCAGGGAUCAAACCCGCAUCCUCAUGGAUCUUGGUUGGGUUUGGUAACCGCUGAGCCACGAAGGGAACUCCCCCUCCUCACCUCAGUCAUGAGGUUUAGAGCCCACCCUAAACCUAAACCCAGGACUGCAGCUCCUGAUCUCUGACUAAUUACAUCAGCAGAGACCUUAUUUCUAGACAAGGUCACAUUCUGAGGUUCUGGCUAGACAUGAAUUUCAGUCCCUCGGGGACCUUGGUCAGGGGUGGGCCCCAGAGGCUGCUUUCCCUGCACCCCAGCCCCGCCCCAGGUGAAGGUCACGGUGCUGAGCUCAGUGCCUGGGCCGCUGGCUCUCUGGGCUCAGCAGCUGCCAGGAGGCGGCCAGGCUCUGCCGUCGGUGUGGACGGCAGCUCUGCUCUGAUCUUCCCGUAAUUACACUUCCAGCCCAGAGAACAUCCCCCCGGCUUUUCCCAGAGACGCGUGCACAGCGCUGAUAAUGAGUUCUGCCUUCCCAAAUUACCUGUUUCUGGGGUUGGAAGUAAUUUUCUGCCUGGGAACAAUUAACUUGAGGACCUGAGAAAAGCUGCACAUGGGGGAAGGAGGCGGUGGAAGAGUCUGAAGAGGACUGAGAGUGGGAGGCACGCCUGGCCCGAGCCCUGGGCCACGUCGGCUUGCGGGGCUGCAGGAACUCAGUCACCCUCGAGGUCCCUCCUGCUGCCCCCUUGAUGGUCUGGCAGCUUCUACAACGUUCCGCUCUGCAGUGCAGGCUGCGUGGAGGCGCUCGGGGUGGGGAGAGCGGCCCUGGGAGCCAGUUGCUGUGGAUGCAAAUCCUGACUUAGGCACCGGAGAGCAGGAGGUGUGGCCAACCUUAGCUUCCUCUUCUGGAAAAGGGGGUAAGGUGACCUACCCAGGCCCCAGGCACAGGGGCUCGUGGACAAUGUGUGCGAUGUGUGAGCAGGUGCCUGGCACAGAGCAGGUGUUCAGGAAGAGCAGCACGUCCUCCUGGGAAAGCUGACGUGUGAACGAAGGAAGGGAGACAUCGGGGUACAAGAGGUACAAGAUCUGGGGUCAGUCCCUUCUAGCAGCUCAACGAGCACGUCAUCAAAUAUCCCUGAGCAAGUAUAAAACGGGGUCGGACUAGCAGGGCUGUUAAGAGGUGAGGUGAGAUGUGCAAAUAGCCUGCAAACUGUAAAGUGCCGUCCCUUGGCACUUUAUAAAUAAUAAUCAGAAAACACCAAUCGCUGUGCUCAGCCAGGCCAGCACUGCUCUUCUUGUUACUCCAGUGGUUCGCAAAGCGGGAUUCCUGGGCUCAGCCAGCAUCAGGCCGGAACUUGCUAGAAAGGUACAUUUAGGGCCUACUCCAGGCCCACCGAAUCAGAAACCCUGGAGUGGGGCCGGCGAGUCCUCCGGAGGUUCUGUGGGUGCUGAAGUUUGGGCGCCUCUGUUUCACGUGGGCUUCCCUCUCCUGCUCAGAGCCUCAUAAGUGCACUCACCUUCUCCCCUGUGCCUCCCCUCCCCCAGCCUCUCCCAGAGCCACCGCUGCAGGCUUGGUGUCUUCCAAACGAAAGGCAGGCUGUGAUUCUACCCCCUGGGAGGACCCCCUAGCUAUUGGCACUCCAGUGUGUUCCAGGUAGAAGCCGCCAGUGAAAUCCUGACAACCCCGGCACGGUGCUGGCAGCAGGUGUUUGUGGAUGUGGGCGUGAGCUCUGUCCCCCGCCCCCUGGCCAGGGACAAUUUGGAAACUGGCUGAGGAAUCAGAAUCUAGGAUCCUGAUUUUCUCUCUGCCACCACCUCCAGGGGACCACGGACAUGGCCUGUCCUCCGGGCCUCAGUUUCCACAUCCAUGGCAUGGGAACGCUGGUCUGGAGGGGCUCAGUCCCUUCUGUGAUGGUUUUGUCUUCCCAGCACGGGCCUGGAGCCACCUCCGCUGGCUCUGCUCCUGACCCGAGGCGGGAGACCCUUUAACCUCUGGGCUCAGUAUGGGGGGGUGGUCUCUGCUCUGGCUCCUGCUGGAGAUCCGAUGGGGAGGUCUAGGCAGGGGGGCAGGGGCCAUGUCAGCUGCAGGACUGAGGUGUCCUGUGUGUCCCGUAAUGAGAUGCCCCUCCUCUAGGCCCUAGAUGGCUCCUGGCACCUUCUUCCCGAAGCUGCUUCCUAAACAGCAUCUACAUCAGUAUUUCUUAAAAACCCCAAUGUCCCCGUUAUGCGGGGAGCAGAAGGUUCAAGUGCAGGAGGGGAGCAGAUGGUUCAAGAGCAGGAGGGGGCACAGAGAGGAGGCCCCUGGUGGAAACAUGUGGCCCCUGCCCCAAAGGGGUCCUAGCAGGAACUCUAGCUCUCAGCAGAGGAGUUAAAUAAAUUUUUUUUUUUUUUUGGUCACCCGCUGUCUUAUGGAGUACCUGGUCAGGGGUUGGAUCUGAGCCGUGCUUGUAACCUACACCCCUGGCAAGGCUGGAUCCUUUAACCCACUGUGCCAGGCUAGGUCCUAGUGCUGCAGAGAUGCCACCAAUCCCUUUGUGCCACAACGGGAACGCCAGGAGCUAAAUAUCAUAUUGACACCCGCUCCCCACAUUUGGCUGGCAUUCUGCUAUUUGUAAGUCCAUUCAGGCAUUGACACAGAGCCUGCCAGGCCAGCCAUGGUGUCCGGACUCAGCUAUACAGCGGGCUUGGCUUUUGCAUCCUUCUCCUGUAGGUGGCUUACUCCCACAAGGCAGUGCCUCCCCUUGUGGGGUCCCUCUUGUCCGCACUGUGGAGCAUCCUUCAGGGCAACAGUCUCAGGAUCCACUAGAGAAUCGCCCACAAUCAUUUGCUGGCUGCACCAUUGGCUCUGUUUGCUGAGGCUCCGGGGCAGACGCAGGGCUGGGACCUCUCGUGUCUCAGGUUGUUAAGUCCUUACAACAAAUCCAAGUCAGAGAUUUCCUCUCCUUUUUAGAUUUGAACACGUGGAGGCACAGAGAGGUGAAGUGACUUGCCCAAGGUCACAGCGCUGGUGCGUGAGGGGCUCCAGCAUCCGUGCUUUAACUCUCUGUGAUGAUGAUCUGGUGCCCAGGUGGGCCUCCCUUCUCCCCAUUCUUCUGCACGGAGCAGCCUCCCAACUCUCCCCUCUGAGAUGCCCUGGGGGGCCGCCUCUGGUCCCCGCAUGUUUGCAGGAGGCAGUGCCUCUGUUCUGGGCAACCUCACCAUCGCGCUCUGGCCCAUCUUCCAGCCUGGGGCUGGUGGCUGUGGGUCUCUGAGUGCCUGGCUGCACCUCUGGGGGGUGGUCCCUCUCACGGGGAUGAGAGAGGGUCCCCCGAUAUUGAACAUCUUUGUAGCAGACCUCCGCUGGCACACAGGCACCUGCCCGCCUCACAGGCUCCUCGGGCUCCAUCCCAGCUCACCAUCCACCAGGCUUCCGCACAGGGCAUCCAGAGUGGCCGUGCCUCCAAGGCUUCCGGGGCCUGCGGAAUCAACAAGGAGCCGUUUCCUCUGGCAUAUCCGUCCCCAUGGGACCUGGGUCACAGGCCAGUCCCAUCCACCGCCUCCCUCCUCCGGGGCUGGGAACUGGCUUUCUUCCUCCACGCCGCUCUGGCCGCCCCGCUUCCCCGUGACUCCUCCAUCCCCCGAGCUCCGCCCUGACUCAGGGCCUUUGCACUGGCUCUUCUCUCUGCCUCGAAUGUCGCCUGCCCUGAGCCCCCUUCCCUGCUCAGCGCGUCUUAAGUGGCCUCUCACCCCUUCCGUCUGUUGACCAAUAAGCUGUUCUCUCGGCAUCUUAUCAGUGUGUGCGGACUUGGUCAUCUUUUUCUUCCUCUUCCCCCUCCUCCUGCUCCUCCUCUCCCGCCCCCUUCCUCCUUUUCUUCUCCCCCGCCAUCGUCUGAACCCCCCAGGAGAAUGUCAGAUCCGUGAGAACGUGGCCUUGACGGCUUAGUCCGCGGCCGCAGACCCACCACCUAGCAUGGGGCUCAGUAAGCACCCAGCCAGCGUUUGCUGGCCUGGAGUUCGGGCAAGCGGGAGGGUCUUGGCCCCAGACUCCACUUAACCCUCUGGCCUGGACCAGUCCUGGCGCCUCCCUGAACCUCAGCUGCUGCUUCUGCAACCUCUGGGGAGCAGACCGAGCUGACAUGAGGACGCUGCUGAAGGGGUGGGAGGACCUCGCAGAUGGCACCCUUACCUCCCAGCCGGGGAGCAGCAGAAGUUCCCUGUCUGCUGGGCUUUCAGCCGCCCGCCCGCCACAGAGGUGUCCACAACAGGUUUCUUUUGAUUUAGGGCGGGAGACCGUCUCCUUUUGGGGUGGCGGUGGCACUCAUGGUCUAUUUCCUGCUCAGUGCUGGGUGCCAAGUUGGCAUUAAUGUAGAAAAAUUAGUAUUAUCAGGACUGCCUUUGGAGCCAUUUCUCGCCCUGGAGUCCUUGACGUGUUAAUUAAACUUGAUAAAUGCUCUUGUCUAAAGAUAACUUUUGAACAAUGGAUCCAGUCACCCACUUAUUAGUCGGGUACAUGCUCCUGCAAAUUGCCGAGGCGGCGUUCUGAGAUGCUGGGGCCCGCGCUGGGACCGAGGGUACCCGGGGAGAGAGGGAUGCUGUGGGGCUCAGCGCAGGUCUCCUGGUUGGGGCGUGGGGGGGCGCAGGGAGGUGGUGGCAGCUGUGGACCAGGCAGAGCAGAGGAGUGGUGGGAACCCUCCUGGUGGGAACUGACCUUCUUCUACUUGCAGCUCCCAUCACAAGCCCCCUUCUGCUCAGCAUCUAUCUCAUCACCAUGACAACGCACCCCAUGCCGAGCAACACUGGGGGAGGUGGGAGAGCCAAGAGAUAGGACCUUUGCCCUCUAGGUGGAGUCAUUAUCCUGGGGGCCCGUCCUGGGGUGACAUCAUUUUCCCUGCUGUUCUGCCCCCCACCCCACCUUCCGCAUACCCCAGCAUGGGAAGCUGUGAUGCCCAAAGCUUCUCCCAGGAUCUCGGCAACAAAAUGGCUUUCCCAGAGUCUGGCAUUGGGACCCCAGGGUCCCAUCACUGCAGCACCCUGAAUUCCAUCAAACUCUGCUUCAGCCCCCCUCCCCCAAGAUGCCAUGUGCAGAGACACGAGGGACUGCAGGAUGUCACUGAGGAGCGAUUACAUGGCUCCAAAGACCCCAAAGGGACACAGGGCACUGACUAGAGGAACAAGUGAAGAAAGAUGCAGGAUGCCGUCAUGAGUCACCAAGACCUCCUGGAGCAGCCCCUUCACCGGACCGCCAGCCUGUGUCCAUGUCUUUGACCCUGGCUGAUUCAGAGCCCCCCGUCCAUACACACACUCGCUGGGGCAGUGGGACGAGGCGGGCAGCCUGGGUUCCAGUCCUGUCCUACAGUUUCUUUACAGCUGUGUGGCCAGAGGCAGAUCACUUUGCCUCUCUGAGCCUCAGCGUUCUCAGGCGGCCCUGCCUCUCUUCAGGGGCAAAGGGAUGCCCAUGGCUUUGUGACCUGCUUUGGCCAACAGACUGAAGCAGAAGUGGCCACGAGCCCGGGCUGAGCCCAGGUCUCUCGCAGCGUGUGUCUUCCACACCUUGUGCUGUUGCCAUGGGAACGCCUCCAGCCGGGCCGUGUGCCAGCUGCCCGCCAGCCACGUGGCUGAGCCUGGCCAAGACCAGAAGAACCUCACCACAGAGCCCAGCCUGAAGUGCCGAACUGUGAGCCAAGCACACAUGUCUGAAGCCCCUCAGUUCUGGGGCGUUUUUUAUGCAUUUAUUAUCAUGGCAAUAAGCACAGGGUUUUUUUUAAGUUAAUUAUUUAUUUUGAUUGAAGUGGAGUUGAUUGACAGUUUCAGGUGUGAAAGGUAUCCAGCUAUACCUCUAUUACUUAUUCCUGUUCAUUUUCUUUCUAUCACAGGUCUUAUAGGAUAUUGACUAUGGCUGCCUCCGCUGUAUCAGAUCUGAGCCGAAGUUGUGACCUACACCGCAGCUGCAGCAACACCAGAUCCUUAACCCACUGUGCCAGACUGGGGAUCAAGCCUGCGUCCUGGCGCUGCAGAGACGCCACUAAUCCCGUCGCGCCGCAGCGGAAACUCUGGGAUUACCUACGUCUUGGAAAGAAUUUCUUCCAGGCUCCGGUCCCAGCUCUCGAGGGGAACGUCCUCACUCUGCCUUCACAACCAUGAAGAUAACGAGGCAGGUACCAGCAGUAGCCCCAUUUUACAGAUGAGGACACUGAGGCUCAGAGGGGAUACGGCACCUGCUGGAGGUCAGCAGCCAGUACGGGGCGGAGGACGGCUUCAUGCCUGGCUAUUGUUAGCAUCUCCGCGUGUGCCGCACUCGGGAACUGACGCUGCCUGGGGAAAGGGUGAGAUCAUCCGCCCGGAGGUCCACGGUCACCUUUGCACGAGGCUCAACGAGGAGCGAAGAGCGGGACCUCCCUUCCAGCCGCAACCCCGGGGCGGGUGCAGGGCCCGCACAGGGUCAGGACAGGCUCGGGGGUGGGGAGCAGUGUGGGGAGGGACGAGCCCCGCCUCUUCUAUGGGCAUCUUCUGCAGGCCCUUCUCCCCCACGUUGGGGCCACUGGGAGCGCUCAAGGCGUCGGCCCCUGGACCUCCCUCUGGGAUCAGUUGUCCCUGCCCAUGGUGCUAUGCCGUCUCCGAACCCCUCAGCUGUUAGGGGGGUGAGUGGACGUUUAACCUGGGCCAGCAGUCAGGGGUUCCAUCUCUCCAGGGACUGGCUCAGGAAUGGGCACAUGGUCCAGGCAAGAUGUGGAAAUAAAGACUCUCCACCUUAAAC
rnacentral:lncRNA from 1 species